UGUAUGUAUGUAUGCAUGUAUGUAUGCAUGCAUGUAUGUAUGUAUAUAUGUAUGUAUGUAU
rnacentral:miRNA from 1 species